rnacentral:rRNA from 1 species
GUGAGGAAUUUUCCGCAAUGGGCGAAAGCCUGACGGAGCAAUGCCGCGUGAAGGAUGAAGGCCUAUGGGUUGUAAACUUCUUUUCUUAGAGAAGAAUAUUGACGGUAUCUGAGGAAUAAGCAUCGGCUAACUCUGUGCCAGCAGCCGCGGUAAGACAGAGGAUGCAAGCGUUAUCCGGAAUGAUUGGGCGUAAAGCGUCUGUAGGUGGCUUCAAAAGACUCCUGUCAAAGAUCAGGGCUUAACCCUGGGCAGGCAGGAGAAACUCUGAGGCUAGAGUUUGGUAGGGGCAGAGGGAAUUCCCGGUGGCGCGGUGAAAUGCGUAGAGAUCGGGAGGAACACCAAAGGCGAAAGCACUCUGCUGGGCCACAACUGACACUGAGAGACGAAAGCGAGGGGAGCAAAAGGGAUUAGAAACCCUAGUAGUCC